UAAAUCUAACAUUCUAUUUCAAUUAACAUUCUAUGUCAUGCUCCGAAUUGCCACGUUUCUCUAGACACGCCAACAGACUCGUCAUAUAUACAGAAAUUUUUCGUGUAUGCGAAGCGAUAGCUAUAUCUGCAAACAAAUAGAAGCUACAAUCAAAGCAUAGAACUGCUAAAUGAGAAACAUAUAUAAAUAAGGAUAUACUAAGUCCACUGUACAUACAACAUCCAAAACACAACCUCGAUCCAAAGUGAACAACCAAACAUAACUGUAUGUACAUAACAACAACCCAAACUACCUCUGAAGGGGUACUCCCUGCUGACGGGAUCCACCAGACCGCUCUCGCCCCGAAGGCCCAUGACCCUGAGAGCGUGAUCGUCGAGGCCUCGGCGGACGUCUACCACUGGUCAGUCCCCCGUUGGAACCGAGCGCUUCCUGUCCUAACCCUGCUCCGUCACCGUCGCCCGCUCACGGACCGAUACAGCUCCUCGCACAACCCACAAUGCCUGCUCAAUCGACGCAUCCAAGAUCUGCAACCUUUUGCAAUACCGGUCGCUCCUCACUGACAGAUCACCUUGGGUCGUAGAGACAUGGGUGAGUAGAGUCUCUGCUUGGCGGAGUGAGGCUUUUCUUGAGUUGGGUGAGUACUCCUGCACGGACUGAUCACCAUGGGUCGUAGAGGCAUGGGUGAGUGCGAUAGAGAAGUUGUUUGAGGAUCUCUUUGUACCGGAACAAGAGCAGAUCCACUUGGCAGUACAUUGUUUGGCGGGUGAUGCGCAUGCCUAGUGGAGAAGGAUGCGGCAGAACCGAGGUUUGGAUGCACUGCAAAUGAGAUGGGACGAGUUUCGUGGGAUGCAGCAUGGGGCCUAUUUCCCAAGCAGCGUAAAGCAGAAAUUCGAGGAGGAUCUGAAGAAGCUGCAGCAAGGUGAUCAGUUAGUGCAGAAAUAUACUCGAGAAUUUACCAGGCUUCUAAACUGUGUGCCUUUUAUAGUUAGGGAUGAAGCUCAUAAGGUGUAUCUGUAUGAGAGAGGAUUGAUGUCAGAGAUUUUUGUGUUAGUACAAGCUCUGUCACUCCCCGUAUUGCCACGUUUUUCCGGGCACGCCAACAAACUUGCCAUAUAGAUAAUAAUUUUUCAUGUAUACGAAGCGAUAGCUAUGCUUGCAAACAAACAAGAGUUACAACCAAAGUACAGAGUUGCUAAAAAAGAAACAUAUAUAAAUAAGGAUAUACUAAGUCCACUGUACAUACAACAUCCAAAACACAACCCCGAUCCAGAGUGAACAACCAAACAUAACUGUAUGUACAUAACAACAAUCCAAACUACCU
rnacentral:lncRNA from 1 species